CAUAGCGACUAUCGUGGCAUAUCAAUAAGCGGAGGAAAAGAAACUAACAAGGAUUCCCCUAGUAACGGCGAGUGAAGCGGGAAGAGCUCAAAUUUGAAAUCUUAAAGGGUUUCCCUUUACGAAUUGUAGUUUAAAGAAGUGUUUUCUGUUGGAGUUUCGGUAAAAGUUCUUUGGAAUAGGACAUCAUAGAGGGUGAGAAUCCCGUAUUUGACCGUUACUUUCCAGCUGUGUGAUACACUUUCAAAGAGUCGGAUUGUUUGGGAAUGCAGUCCAAAAUGGGUGGUAAAUUUCAUCUAAAGCUAAAUAUUGGCGAGAGACCGAUAGUGAACAAGUACCGUGAGGGAAAGAUGAAAAGAACUUUGAAAAGAGAGUUAAACAGUACGUGAAAUUGUCAAAAGGGAAGCGUUUGACACCAGUGUUGUUUUCUCGAAAAUCAAUUAAAAAGGAUGGAUUUUGUGUUGUAUUGACCUUAAUCAGCUUUCUUCACCUUUUUCUUAGUCUUUUUUAAUGCACUUUUCGUUUAACAAGUCAACAUCAGUUUCUUUUGUUGUAAAAGAGUCAUUGGAAGGUGGCUUUUCUUUCGGAGAAAGUGUUUAUAGCCUUUGGCUUCUGCAAUCGGAGAGAUUGAGGUCUGCAGCGUAGAUCCUUCGGGGUUAGAUACAGUUUGUGCUAAGCUAUAGUUCUUUCAUAGACAACUUGUUGACUAUAGUCUAGUCCUGUAGCUUACUCGCUGAUGCUAUUUUACCUACGCUUAGGAUGUUGACGAGACUGUCGAUCUC
rnacentral:rRNA from 1 species